rnacentral:rRNA from 1 species
UACGUAGGAGGCGAGCGUUAUCCGGAUUCACUGGGCGUAAAGCGUGUGCAGGCGGUUUGGUUAGUUGGAUGUGAAAGCUCCUGGCUCAACUGGGAGAGGUCGUUCAAUACUGCCAGACUAGAGGACGGUAGAGGAGAGUGGAAUUCCCGGUGUAGUGGUGAAAUGCGUAGAUAUCGGGAGGAACACCAGUGGCGAAGGCGGCAUCCUGGCCCUGUACUGACGCUGAGGCGCGAUAGCGUGGGGAGCAAACGGG